rnacentral:rRNA from 1 species
CCUACGGGUGGCAGCAGUGAGGAAUAUUGGUCAAUGGACGAGAGUCUGAACCAGCCAAGUAGCGUGAAGGAUGACUGCCCUAUGGGUUGUAAACUUCUUUUAUAUGGGAAUAAAACGUUCCACGUGUGGGAUUUUGUAUGUACCAUAUGAAUAAGGAUCGGCUAACUCCGUGCCAGCAGCCGCGGUAAUACGGAGGAUCCGAGCGUUAUCCGGAUUUAUUGGGUUUAAAGGGAGCGUAGGUGGAUUGUUACGUCAGUUGUGAAAGUUUGCGGCUCAACCGUAAAAUUGCAGUUGCAACUGGCAGUCUUGAGUACAGUAGAGGUGGGCGGAAUUCGUGGUGUAGCGGUGAAAUGCUUAGAUAUCACGAAGAACUCCGAUUGCGAAGGCAGUUCACUGGACUGCAACUGACACUGAGGCUCGAAAGUGUGGGUAUCAAACAGGAGUAGAUACCCUUGUAGUC